rnacentral:rRNA from 1 species
AUACGGGAGGCAGCAGUGGGGAAUAUUGGACAAUGGGCGCAAGCCUGAUCCAGCAAUACCACGUGAAUGAUGAAGGCCUUCGGGUUGUAAAGUUCUUUUAGUAGGGAAGAUAAUGACGGUACCUACAGAAAAAGCGCCGGCUAACUUCGUGCCAGCAGCCGCGGUAAUACGAAGGGCGCUAGCGUUGUUCGGAAUCAUUGGGCGUAAAGCGUGCGUAGGCGGCAUGAUAAGUCAGCUGUGAAAGCCCAGGGCUCAACCUUGGAAUUGCAGUUGAAACUAUCAAGCUAGAGUAUGGCGGGGGAUAGUGGAAUUCUUAGUGUAGGGGUGAAAUCCGUAGAUAUUAAGAGGAACACCAGUGGCGAAAGCGACUAUCUACACCAUUACUGACGCUGAGGUACGAAAGCGUGGGGAGCAAACAGGAUUAGAAACCGUGUAGUCCG